ACCUUCCGUUCAAACUUAGGAAGAAUGCAACUUAAGAUCAGUUAAGGGCAGGAAGCCAAGCAAGGUCAGGCCUGAUUAGUACUUGGAUGGGAGACUACCUAGGAAGACCAGGUGCUGUAGGUG
ensembl:rRNA 5S_rRNA 5S ribosomal RNA